rnacentral:misc_RNA from 1 species
GCGAGUUAAUUACAAACUCCAAACCCAUGUGAACAUACCUAUCGUUGCCUCGGCAGGUCGUGCUGCGCGGCAGGACCGCUCCCAUGUGUGGGGUCACCUACCCUGGAGUAGGUACCCUGUAGCUGGGAGCCCCUACCCUGCAGUACACAACCAGGCCUGCCGGAGGACCCCUAAACUCUCUUUUACACCUGUAACUCUGAGUCUAUUAUACAAAUAAGUUA